rnacentral:lncRNA from 1 species
CCUGGCUGCGCGUGCGCAGCGCGCCGCGGAGGGGGCGGGGGGUCAAGCCUCSCCCCCCUAGCCAGGGCUAGAUCUGUGGCUGGAAGUUCUCCUAAUGCUAUCAACAGGAAGAAGAGCGUGUCAGCUCUGAACUUCAGGGCUCCUUUCCAGUGGAAAAAUGAUAACAUGGAAUUGCUGAAGGGAAGCAGGAAAAAAGGGCUGUACACCAGAAGAUGGGUAAAUCAAGCAAGCAACUGAAGGAGAGGGAAUCUAGAUGUUUUGCAUCUUUGUAAGAUGGACUUCAUACCUGGCCAAUCCCUCAUGAUUGGCUGUUGUGGGGGGAAAGGCACGUCACAACUGAGAGUAUGUCUAAAAAGAAGGCCUUCCAAAGCUUUUGCACUCCAAGGAAAAAUGGGUAUAAGACUCUAAAGAAAAACAAAGGAAA